rnacentral:rRNA from 1 species
AGAGUUUGAUCAUGGCUCAGGACGAACGCUGGCGGCGCGCCUAACACAUGCAAGUCGAACGAGAGAUGAGGAGCUUGCUCUUCAGAUCGAGUGGCGAACGGGUGAGUAACGCGUGAGGAACCUGCCUCAAAGAGGGGGACAACAGUUGGAAACGACUGCUAAUAUCGCAUAAGCCCACGGCUCGGCAUCGAGCAGAGGGAAAAGGAGAGAUCCGCUUUGAGAUGGCCUCGCGUCCGAUUAGCUAGUUGGUGAGGUAACGGCCCACAAGGCGACGAUCGGUAGCCGGACUGAGAGGUUGAACCGGCCACAUUGGGACUGGAGACACGGCCCAGACCUCCGUACGGGAGGCA